rnacentral:rRNA from 1 species
CCUACGGGAGGCAGCAGUGAGGAAUAUUGGUCAAUGGGCGAGAGCCUGAACCAGCCAAGUCGCGUGAGGGAAGACGGUCCUAUGGAUUGUAAACCUCUUUUGCCGGGGAGCAAAAAGCGGUACGUGUACCGCAUCGAGAGUACACGGAGAAAAAGCAUCGGCUAGCUCCGGGCCAGCAGCCGCGGUAAUAAGGAGGAUGCGAGCGGUAUCCGGUUGUCUUGGGGUGAAAGGGUGAGAAAGCGGCGAGUUAAGUCAGCGGGAAAAUUUCGGGGCUUAACCCCGAAGAGCCGUUGAAACUGGCUUGCUAGAGUGGGCGAGAGGUAUGCGGAAUGCGUGGUGGAGCGGUG